AUUGAACGCUGGCGGCAGGCCUAACACAUGCAAGUCGAGCGGAUGAAGGGAGCUUGCUCCUGGAUUCAGCGGCGGACGGGUGAGUAAUGCCUAGGAAUCUGCCUGGUAGUGGGGGAUAACGUCCGGAAACGGGCGCUAAUACCGCAUACGUCCUGAGGGAGAAAGUGGGGGAUCUUCGGACCUCACGCUAUCAGAUGAGCCUAGGUCGGAUUAGCUAGUUGGUGGGGUAAAUGCCUACCAAGGCGACGAUCCGUAACUGGUCUGAGAGGAUGAUCAGUCACACUGGAACUGAGACACGGUCCAGACUCCUACGGGAGGCAGCAGUGGGGAAUAUUGGACAAUGGGCGAAAGCCUGAUCCAGCCAUGCCGCGUGUGUGAAGAAGGUCUUCGGAUUGUAAAGCACUUUAAGUUGGGAGGAAGGGCAGUAAGUUAAUACCUUGCUGUUUUGACGUUACCAACAGAAUAAGCACCGGCUAACUUCGUG
rnacentral:rRNA from 1 species